rnacentral:tRNA from 1 species
AUUUAAGUAAUUUAAAAAAAAUUUUGAUUUGUGGUGUCAAAUAUGUAAUUGUAUUACCUUAGAUU